UCUUGAAGUCUUAGUGGCGCAGCUAACGCACUAAGUAGACCGCCUGGGGAGUACGGCCGCAAGGUUAAAACUCAAAUGAGUUGACGGGGGCCCGCACAAGCGGUGGAGCAUGUGGUUUAAUUCGACGCAACGCGAAGAACCUUACCUGGCCUUGACAUGCAGAGAACUUUCCAGAGAUGGAUUGGUGCCUUCGGGAACUCUGACACAGGUGCUGCAUGGCCGUCGUCAGCUCGUGUCGUGAGAUGUUGGGUUAAGUCCCGUAACGAGCGCAACCCCUAUCCCUAGUUGCUAGCAGUUCGGCUGAGAACUCUAGGGAGACUGCCGGUGACAAACCGGAGGAAGGUGGGGAUGACGUCAGGUCAUCUNNNNCNNNACGGCCAGGGCUACACACGUGCUACAAUGGUGCGUACAGAGGGCUGCAAACCCGCGAGGGGGAGCUAAUCUCACAAAACGCAUCGUAGUCCGGAUCGGAGUCUGCAACUCGACUCCGUGAAGUCGGAAUCGCUAGUAAUCGCGAAUCAGAAUGUCGCGGUGAAUACGUUCCCGGGCCUUGUACACACCGCCCGUCACACCAUGGGAGUGGAUUGCACCAGAAGUGGUUAGUCUAACCUUCGGGAGGACGAU
rnacentral:rRNA from 1 species